rnacentral:lncRNA from 10 species
UUGCCGGACAUUUGGGUCCUCCUCCCUCGCUGGGCGGGGCUGGGAGGGGCGCGGCGCAGGGUACAGAGCACAGACCUUAGAGCAGGAACGCCCGGCUACGCUAUUUACGAGCUGUGAGAUCUUGGACGAAUUCCUUAACCUCUCUGGGCCUCAGUUUCCUCCUAUAAAGUGAAGGAGUUUGGAGACAUGACCUUAGGCCCUUCUCUGCUCUGGAGCUCCAAUCCUUCCGCUGAGAUGAUGGUGUGUGUGAAUGGAGAAGUACUGUAGCGGAAGUCAGGGAACUUAGGUUUUGGUCCAGGGUCUGUGUUAGCCUCAGUUUACCCAAUUCUUAAGUAGCGCCAGCCAUCUGUACCCCACAGGGUCCUUAUGAGGACCCAAUGUUAAGAGGUGUUGAGAGUCCAUUGCUGACAACUCGCUGUGCACCGUCACACAACUUCUGUCCUCAGUUUCCUUAUCUGCAAAGUGGGGGUGUUGGUAGCAGAGAAAAAUAGAGCCGGGAACGCGAAGCUUUCCUGGGGCUCUAUAUAAAGCGCUGGCAUUUCCGGGACGGCUGGCGGCAUCUGGCCGCCCCAAGGGCCCCAAGAUACGGUAAUCCCAAACAAUACUCGGGGUCAUUGUUUACAGCUAUAAAACACAUUCUGUCCUGAACGCUAUCCCCAAGGACGCGCGCGCGUGCGCGACGAGGCGAGGCCAGCCAGACUCCUCGCACCUCCGCUGCUGCCCGCUGGACAGAGUCCCCAACUCCGCAGGCCCAGGAGAGGGGUGUGGGGCAGGCGGACGCGCGCGCCGGCCGUGGGUGCUUUGCUUUUUUCUUCCCCCUCCCCAUCCCUGCGUCCUGGCUUGCCUGGGUGUUUACGCGCCUCUCCCAGCAGGACUGAGUAAAUGCAGUCCUUUGACGCAAAACGAAUCAGUCCUUCCCCAGCGGCAGCAGCAAAACUCAGAAAACUGGGGGUGGGGGUAGGGACGGGAGGGGCACAGAAGAAAUCGUGACAUUUUCCCACUCGGUUCUCAGCCCCUCCCCGCGCCACGCGGGCCUCAGGCCGCCCUAGCCAAGUCUUGGGGGCUGCAAAGGGAGGCGCGGCCAAAGCGCCCUGCCUGAGCCCUCCCAGUAGCAACCGCGUGUCGGAGCGGCGCGAACAGACGCACUUUUGGUUUUCCUUUGAGCAGUAGAGGCUGCCCCGCCCUCCCCCACCUGGCGGUCGAAAAUCCGGGUGCUUCUGGGUCUCUCCCACACAGUCCUUCCAGUAACGCGGGGGGAAAGAGGCGGGGGAAGGGGAGCGGGAGCUUCCUCCGCGGCCUCCGCAGUCCCGGGCGCGCCCAGCCCCGGCCAGGCGCCGCCGGGAGCGCGCGGGCGAGCGCACCCUCGCGCCCUCGCCCGCCCUCGCCCUGCCAGCUCCCCGGUCCUUUCCUUUCUUGUGGGUUCCCGUAAAGCCCAGCAGCCUGGAGACGUCUGCAGAGCAUCACGGAAUCUGUGCUGAUGCAAUUCACUAGCCUCCCUUUGGUGCGCCCUGGCCUGCCUCAGAGCGCUUUGAUCCCGGCCCUCUCCUACUCCAGAACUCGUGCUGGCUCCCUCUGCCCGCCGGGAGGCUUGCGUUCCGCAGCCCGCUCACCCCCUUUCAGUCCCCCCAGCGCCGGACACACAGCGCUGUGCCCUGGUGCUGCUGCGGGACUGACCUCCCCCGGUUGAGCGAGUGCCUCAGCGAACUGUGCCUGCCAUACAGAGAAUUCAGUCUCCAAGUGCCCUCUCCUUGGGAAAUCAUUCCAGAAUCAUCCAGUUAGAAAGGGUCCUCUGGCUCCCUGGAAUGCUAAAAAUAGAGGUGACCCUUUAUUGAGUGCUAAAAUCAGAGCCAGGCACCAUGCUGAAUACAGGGCUUGUUCUGUGAAAUUCUCACAGCAAACGCUGGAGGUGGGUAUUAUUCCCUGGUUGCAGAAGAAGACAGUGAGAUUGAAUAACUUGUCCAGGGGAACUGGUUAGUGAGUUAGUGAUCUGUUAGGAGUGCAGCUGAGAUUCUCCGACACCAGGCUCUUCUUUUUCCCCAGGACAUGGCAUGACCUGCCUCCUGUUGGAAUGUCUUUGUCUCUCUCUUACUGGUCUUGAAAGGCAUGGUCUUUAUCUGGUGCAUGACUUUAUCCUACACUUAGAGGUGCGCCUUAAUUCUCCACUGAACAAAUAGCCUCAGCGGCAUCCCUCAGCUUAGAGAAGAGGCCAUGUCAAGUGAGGGAAGGGAAGGGGAAGAGGGAAGCUGGGGUGGGAAGAAAAGGGUAGAUGAGCUGGGAAGAAAAGGGUAGGUGAGCUGUCUUCUCAUUGCCUCUCUGGGUCUCUGAGACCUCUCUUGCCUUACUUUUGCCGGUCUCCUUGUUUGUCCAUCCUGGCCAGUGUUUGGCCCCUGAGAGAUGAGGAAUCCCAGAAUAGCUGCCCCCUCAGAGCUGUGCUGGCCCACACAUCUCAGCACCGGAUACAUGAAGCCCUUUCACACACAUCGCCUCAUUUGUCCUUACACAUGACAUCUCUGAAAGGGAUAUAGACAGCAGAGUGACUCUGGAUUGCCAGAAAGGAGGCCGAGGUGCAGAGUGUCACAGCAGCCUACUCAAAAUUUUCCAGCUGUAAGUGUCAGAGCCUGAGUUCAAAGCCAUCUCACCUGACUUUAAACCCAGCGCUUUGCUGUUUGCCAUGCUUCCAACCUUGUAAGUUUAGGAGCAAACUCCAUCUUUUUUUUUUUUUUUUUUUUUUUUUUUUUUUUUUUUUUUUUGGAGACAGUGUCUUCCUCUGUCUCCCAGGCUGGAGUGCAGUGUCGUGAUCUCGGCCCACUGCAACCUCUGCCUCCCAAGUUCAAGUGAUUCUCCUGCCUUAGCCUCCCAAGUAGCUGGGAUUACAGGCACACGUCACUGCACCCGGCUAAUUUUUGUGUUUUUUGUAGAGAUGGAGUUUCACCGUGUUGGCCAGGCUGGUCUCAAACUCCUGGCCUCAAGUGAUCAGCCCGCCUUGGCCUCCCAAAUUGCUGGGUUUACAGGCAUGAGCCACUGUGCCCAACUUACAUCUCUUAAUGAUACACUGUCCUCUAUAUCCAUCAUGCCUGAAUGAACCUGCCAUCAUUUCUUUAUAGUAAGCCAUACUUUUUGAUGAUAUUGUAACAUUUCUGAAAGCCAGAUGUAUCUUAUAAUCGAUGACUAUUGAAUAUGCAAGUGUUGCCGUUUUUGUCCAAAGACCUGUGAAUCAGUCAUGGGUCCAUCAGGAAACAGACUUUAACCCAGAUGGUUCAAAGGAUGAUGCUUUAAUGGAGAAAUUCCUUAUAGAGGUAUGGGCAGAGUUAAGAGGGAACUUGAGGCACCUAGAGCCUAGUAACAGCAGGAAAUGAUGACCAUCCCUAGGGUUGAAAAGAGGAGGCAAUCAUGUUAUUGGAGCCUAGUGAGCUUGGGACCAUGAAAGAGGGGCCAUCCAGCAGGUAGAGGGAAGGAGCCACUGCCAGAGAUAGCCUGCUGAAAGGGAGGGAGGAGUUGGGGUCAAGAAAUACCAGACCAUCUCUCCCACCUCCUACCUCCUUCUCUGGCCAAAUGGCAGGGGGCUGCUGAUCAAUGUAGUCCACUAAGGUUGGCCUCCCAGGGCACAGAGAAUGGCAAAGAAGGGUAGAGAGCGCAUCUAGUGGGGCACUCAGCAAAUGGGGAAUAACCAGUAUAGAUCCCAUUAAGCACAUGAGGGAUCUAACGAGGGAUCGUGUUUCAGAAUGAAGGAAAUAAGGUAAAUCAGUGAGCCUUACACCUCACCUACUGUGGAAGUGAACAAUGGAAUAGCCUGAACAGCUUUUUCAAACCACAUCUCCCCUCUUUACUGAUACACGAAGCCACUCACAAUGAUACACGAGCCACUGAGGCAUGUAUUGUAUCUCUCAGGUGUGGAGCAGAGAAAAGGCUAUACCCACUGAUGAACAGGGAUCCACACCUGGGGAAGAAGCAAGUAUGACUUUCUCUCCUGUGGCUUUACACAACCUCCUUGAAAUUCCAAGAGCAACCCUCCCAGCUAAAGUCUUCUCAGAUGUGACACGAUCUGCACAAGCAGAGGCGGCACAGGGUUUGGCUUCCAGUUGGGAAAUGAAGCUCCAAGGGCAGCCCUACUAUGGCGGGCUGUGUGACCUGGGCCAAGCCCCUUGACAUCUCCAGACUCGGCUUCCACAUCUGCCACCACCAGGACACUGGAUUGAAUGUUGGGUACGUUGUAAGGCAAGGGAGACACAGAAGUCCUAAAGGCAAUAAAGCUUUUCCCCACUGCCCCUCCAUCUGGACGAGUCUCCUGCCAAGCAUCUUCAAGUCCCACUUUGAAACACGAUUCUGCCACCUUCCUGUUCUGAGGAUCUGGGAAAGCAAGGGGGAAGGGGCUAUUGGGAGUCCCGCUUGCUCCAGGCCCAGACCAGGAGGCUCAGGCAGGCUUAUCUACUUCUGAUGUGGUGGGGGGCCCAGGAUGCUGCCAGGGUCUCACAGCCAUGGUCUCACAGCCACUAUCAGCCUGUCCUCAAGGGUAUAAGAGAAGCUGGAAGCCUAGAUGGGCACUGCCCUCAGGCAACUUCCAAUCCAGCCAAGAAGAAUAAAGAGUAACACACAAAAUAUUGGGGGCAUGAGGCAAUAACUGUGGGUACACCUAUAAAAACCUCUAAUUGGGCUUACCUGGUACCAGACAGUAUUUUAAUUGGAUCAUAUAUAGUGCAUUAAUUCAGUUAAUAUUCACAACACCCCUAUGAGGUAGCUACAAUUAUUAUCCCCAUUCGAUGAUGGGGAAAACUGACAUCAGAAGAGGUCAACUUGCCCAAGUUUCCAGAGCUGAAAAGCAACAGAGCUGAGAUUUCACUGCAGGUAUUCUGGCCCCAGAGUCUUGGUACAAAUAGUGUUAAUGAACAAGUCUUCUUCUGGUAAGAGCACCCCAAUUUUCCUUUGGAGAACCUCCACUUCCUCAUUUCAUGUGCCAUGGGUGACCCUACCCUUGAGCUCUUGAGGUGAACACAUGGACACACGAUCCAGUCCUGACCAAACAGAAUAUCUCACUUCCCUGGCUACAGUUAGUGAUAGGUUCAGGAUUGUAGCAAUGACCCAAGACUGGCUUCUGAGAGUCACAUUUGAGACUGUGGCUCAAACUCUUAGAGAAGCACUCGUUUUUCAACUGAGACACUACAGUCUUUACUACUCCUUGAAGACGGACUACCAGGAAGAAAGCCAACCUAGAGGGCUGCAAAGCUGAGCAGUGGAGAACAGCAAGUUCCUGAUGACAUUGUUUGAUGGCCUAAACCCCAUUAUACUUCCACUGGUUAUCUCCCUGGACUUUCCUGUUACACAGAAAUUAUCCCUUUUGUGUUGAAGCCAAUUUGAAUUGGAUAUCUGUCACUUACAACCAAAAAGGUCCAAAUGUGCUAGUGAACACAGAGCACAUACUGUGAGCAACUACUCUUUUUCUUCUUUCUUUCUUUCUUUUUUCUGAGACAGAGUCUUUCUCUGUCACCCAGGCUGGAGUGCAGUGGUGCAAUCUCGGCUCACUGCAACCUCUGCCUCCUGGGUUCAAGUGAUUCUCCUGCCUCAGCCUCCCGAGUAGCUGGGAUUAUAGACACGUGCCACCACGCCCGGCUAAUUUUUGUAUUCUUAGUAGAGACGGGGUUUCACCAUGUUGGCCAGGCUGGUCUCGAACUCCUGACCUUGUGAUCUGCCCACCUCGGCCUCCUAAAGUGCUGGGAUUACAGGUGUGAGCCACCGCGCCCGGCCCGAGCACCUAAGCUUUUCAAGACAUUUCCAGAAAAACAAAUGCAGGUAAGAAAGGAUCAGUCUUCAAAGAACUUGGAAGCUGGUGAGGGAUUACAAAGAUUCUCAAAUAACUUUAAAACAAGUCAGAACACAAUUGACAGCACAAGGCAGCUACCCGGGUUCUCUGGUUAAUGCAAAGGGUGAGAAUUUUCUAUAUUGGAUGGAACACAUCAGAAAAGUUCUCACGAAGGUGGUAGCAGUGAAAUUGGCCUCAGAAGUCUGAUAGGAUGUUGGCAGGUGAAGGCAGGGAAGCUACAGGGCAGACAGCAUGAGGAAGGGCCCAGGUUCAGGGAAGUAUGGGCAUGCAGGGGCAAGUGUAAAUUGAUGGGAUUGCCUGGGACCAGAGGAAAGGUCUAAAACGUACAGUCUGAGGCUGGGGCGGGGUGGGGAAAGGAUGGUUCUGAGGUAUCUGAAGUAUCUCCAAAUAUCUGAAGAUAUUCCCCAUGGAAAAGAAACUAGGCUUAUUUGGAGUGACCCCAGAGGACAAGACUACGACUAAAAAUGGACGCUCGCAAAUGGAGGAAGUAGACCUGACCCCUGACUAAGGAAGAUGGUGCUACCUGUUUGGGGCAAAUGUUCAAAAAGAGGCUGUGUCUGUAUGGUGGAUGCUGUUAAAAGGGACUCAGAAACCAAAUGAGAGUCUGAAUUAGCUGAGUUUAACAUUCUGUGAGUUUUGUGCCAGACUUGGGACUACUGCAGAAGACCCUGGGAGAGUUGGGAUUGAAUUCCAAAGGCAGUGCUGAUGGACACUGACUUGAGGAGCCAGGAAAGAAGGCAGGAACAGUGGUGGGGAUCACAGCCUCACCUGUAUCUGUGCACUUCUAUAAAUUCACAGACUGGGAAUUUUUAAUGUGAACUGGAUAUUAGAUGAUGACCAGGAAUUGUUUUAAUUCUGUUAGGUGGGAUAAUACCAUUCACUGUGCUGUGUAAGAUAAUGUCCAUAUUGUUUAGAGAUGCAUACUGAAGAAUAUAGGAUGAAAUGACAUAAUGUUUGGAUUUUUUAUUUUAAAUAUUUCAGCAAAAUGUGGGGACAAAUUUUAUAUACAUUAUUUUUUCACACAUAUGUGGUAUUCAUAUAUACACAAAUGUAUAUAUUACACACAUGUAUAUGUACAUACAUAUAUGGGUGUAUAUCUAUGUGGGUAUGUGUAUAUGCUACAUGCAUGUGCAUAGCUGGUUAGCAAAUAGAAUAGUUAACAAAAUAAGCCAGACACAAGAUAAUACAUAUUGUUCCAUUAUAUACUUUUUUUUUUUUUUUUGAGACGGAGUCUAGCUCUGUCACCCAGCUGGAGUGCAGUGGCACAAUCUUGGCUCACUGCAACCUCCACCUCCCGGAUUCACAAGCGAUUCUCCUGCCUCAGCCUCCCAAGUAGCUGGGAUUACAGGCCCCUGCCACCAUGCCUGGCUAAUUUUUGUAUUUUUAGUACAGACAGAGUUUCACUGUGUUGGCCAGGCUGGUCUCAAACUCCUGACCUCGUGAUCCGCCCGCCUCGGCCUCCCAAAGUGCUGGAAUUACAAGCAUGAGCCACGUGCCUGGCCUAUAUACAUUUUUUUAAGGCAAAUGAAUCUAUGAUGGUAGAAGUCAGGGCAUGGUUGGCCUUGUAGGGUCAGGGGAAGGCAGAGACGAGAGGGGUCCAAGGGCCUCUGGUGCUGGCUGAGUGCUGUUUCUAGGCUGAGUAAUGUGUGCACAGGCCUGCUGGCUCUGUGCAAACUCAUUGAGCUGUGCACAUGAUUUGUGUACCUUAUGUAUGUUUUAGACUUCAAUAAAUUCACUCCAAAAUACCACCCCCUACACACAAACACACAGACACAGACACACAGACACACACACACACAGACACACACACACACACACACACACACACACACACACACACACACACGGGGAGAGAUCUGAAGUAAGUAGGAUUCCUCCAUUGAUCAUUUCUUGAGAAGCGGGGAGAAGACAUGCUCUGGGCUAUGCUUUAAGCAAGAGUUUUCCAAACAAAUUUGCUACUUUCCAGAGUGAGAUGUUUUUUUCCCAUGACCCAUGGGGCAUAUGUCAUGGGCUGCAGCCUGAAGUUGAAAAGUCUGGUUUUAAGCUGAUCUCUCUGGUGGCAGGGUAAAGAAUGGAAGGCAACAGGAAGAGCCCAGAGAGGAGGCUGGCAGCUUGUGUCUUCUGCCAUGGUUCAGGAGAGAGGUAGGGAGACUCUGUAGCAGGGCCAGGUGACAGGAAGGCAAGUGUGCUUCAGAGAAAGAGUCCAGCUUCAUUGUGUGGGCAGGCCCUGCCACUCCAGCUGCCUGGGGUAUGCUCAGAGGGACAGGGGAGGCCUGCACAGACUCAGCCAGACACCCCAAGGACAACACACGCAGAGUGCAACCAGGUGCU